rnacentral:rRNA from 1 species
UACGGAGGAGGCAAGCGUUAUCCGGAAUUAUUGGGCGUAAAGCGUCCGUAGGUGGUUUGUCAAGUCAGUUGUUAAAGCGUGGAGCUUAACUCCAUAACGGCAAUUGAAACUGACAGGCUAGAGUGCGAUAGGGGCAAGGGGAAUUCCCAGUGUAGCGGUGAAAUGCGUAGAUAUUGGGAAGAACAUCGGUGGCGAAAGCGCCUUGCUGGGUCUGCACUGACACUGAGGGACGAAAGCUAGGGGAGCGAAA